UAUGCCCAAAAACUAAAAAGCAGGAGUAUUUGCCCUAAAUUUCAUCCACAAGCAUUUAAAAGAAAACCUUACAAUUGAACAUCGUCUGUUCUCUUUCCUUUUGGAUUGUUUUCCUCAUCACGAUAGAAUUUUCAAGAAUCUACACAAAAUUAAGCCCAGAUAUAUUGGACGAGGUCGCAUUUGUUGAGCCGUAAAUGUGAGGAAUCGUUCUAUUUUAUGGUGAAAAUGGAAAUUAGGAAUCAUUUUCUCGAUUAACACUGGUAUAUUAGACGAAGUUGGAACUUCUGAAACUACUUGCUGCUGAUAGUUGAAGGCAUCGAUCUUAAGAUUCACCACGACUUUACAUUGCCAUAUGGAAGAAGAAUAUCGUAAAGAAAUCUCUUUUGCAUUUUUACACAAUUCCAAGUAAAUCUGUAGAAAAAUAUCGGUAAUUGAAUUUGAAUUGUGGCCAAAAGUAAACUCGAUCUACUGUACGAUGAAGAGUUUUUAUAUAUUUGUCAUCUAUGUUUGAAUGCAUUUGGUUUUGUGGAAUUUAUUGAUAUUCGAUAUCUUUAUGUAAUUACUUUUUAAGUAUAGGUUGUACAAGACGUGUUUCUCGAAGUUUAUUUGAAAUA